CUAUACAUGCAAGUAGAACGCUGAAGAGAGGAGCUUGCUCUUCUUGGAUGAGUUGCGAACGGGUGAGUAACGCGUAGGUAACCUGCCUGGUAGCGGGGGAUAACUAUUGGAAACGAUAGCUAAUACCGCAUGAAAUUGCUUAUCGCAUGAUAAUUAAUUGAAAGAUGCAACUGCAUCACUACCAGAUGGACCUGCGUUGUAUUAGCUAGUUGGUGAGGUAACGGCUCACCAAGGCGACGAUACAUAGCCGACCUGAGAGGGUGAUCGGCCACACUGGGACUGGGACACGGCCCAGACUCCUACGGGAGGCAGCAGUAGGGAAUCUUCGGCAAUGGGGGGAACCCUGACCGAGCAACGCCGCGUGAGUGAAGAAGGUUUUCGGAUCGUAAAGCUCUGUUGUAAGAGAAGAACGGGUGUGAGAGUGGAAAGUUCACACUGUGACGGUAUCUUACCAGAAAGGGACGGCUAACUACGUGCCAGCAGCCGCGGUAAUACGUAGGUCCCGAGCGUUGUCCGGAUUUAUUGGGCGUAAAGCGAGCGCAGGCGGUUAGAUAAGUCUGAAGUUAAAGGCUGUGGCUUAACCAUAGUAUGCUUUGGAAACUGUUUAACUUGAGUGCAGAAGGGGAGAGUGGAAUUCCAUGUGUAGCGGUGAAAUGCGUAGAUAUAUGGAGGAACACCGGUGGCGAAAGCGGCUCUCUGGUCUGUAACUGACGCUGAGGCUCGAAAGCGUGGGGAGCAAACAGGAUUAGAUACCCUGGUAGUCCACGCCGUAAACGAUGAGUGCUAGGUGUUAGGCCCUUUCCGGGGCUUAGUGCCGCAGCUAACGCAUUAAGCACUCCGCCUGGGGAGUACGACCGCAAGGUUGAAACUCAAAGGAAUUGACGGGGGCCCGCACAAGCGGUGGAGCAUGUGGUUUAAUUCGAAGCACCGCGAAGAACCUUACCAGG
rnacentral:rRNA from 1 species